CCCUUAGAUGUCCUGGGCCGCACGCGUGCUACACUGACACUUACACCGAGUUUUUCCAAUGCCGAAAGGCCAUUGGUAAUCAGCAAUAAGUGUCGUGAUGGGGAUAGAUCUUUGGAAUUAUUGAUCUUGAACGAGGAAUGCCUAGUAAUCGUAGGUCAUCAGCCUGCGAUGAUUACGUCCCUGCCCUUUGUACACACCGCCCGUCGCACCUACCGAUUGAAUGGUCCGGUGAAAUCUCGGGACGGCGGCUUGGUCGCUUGCGUCCGACUGCUGAAACUUGAUUAAACCAUAUCAUUUAGAGGAAGGUGAAGUCGUANCA
rnacentral:rRNA from 1 species